GGAGAGGUGUCUGAGCGGCCGAAAGAGGCGGCUUGCUAAGCCGUUAAGGGGGUUUUACUUCCUUCGUGGGUUCAAAUCCCACCCUCUCCGCCA
rnacentral:tRNA from 1 species